rnacentral:rRNA from 1 species
AUUGAACGCUGGCGGCAGGCCUAACACAUGCAAGUCGAGCGGAGCGGCGGACGGGGGAGUAAUUCCUAGGAAUCUGCCUGGUAGUGGGGGAUGACGUCCGGAAACGGGCGCUCAUACCGCAUACUCUCAGAAGAGCCUAGGGCGGAUUAGCUAGUUGGUGGGGUAACGGCCUACCAAGGCGACGAUCCGUAACUGGGCUGAGAGGAUGAUCAGUCACACUGGAACGGAGACACGGUCCAGAUUCCGACGGGAGGCAGCAGUGUGUAAUAUUGGACAAUGGGCGAAAGCCUGAUCCAGCCAUGCCGCGUGUGUGAAGAAGGUCUUCGGAUUGUAAAGCACUUUAAGUUGGGAGGCGUUACCAACAGAAUAAGCACCGGCUAACUUCGUGCCAGCAGCCGCGGUAAUUC